CGAUGAACCUCCUUCGGGAGGGGAUUAGUGGCGAACGGGUGAGUAACACGUGGGCAAUCUGCCCUGCACUCUGGGACAAGCCCUGGAAACGGGGUCUAAUACCGGAUACGACCUUUGAACGCAUGUUUGAAGGUGGAAAGCUCCGGCGGUGCAGGAUGAGCCCGCGGCCUAUCAGCUUGUUGGUGGGGUGAUGGCCUACCAAGGCGACGACGGGUAGCCGGCCUGAGAGGGCGACCGGCCACACUGGGACUGAGACACGGCCCAGACUCCUACGGGAGGCAGCAGUGGGGAAUAUUGCACAAUGGGCGAAAGCCUGAUGCAGCGACGCCGCGUGAGGGAUGACGGCCUUCGGGUUGUAAACCUCUUUCAGCAGGGAAGAAGCGAAAGUGACGGUACCUGCAGAAGAAGCGCCGGCUAACUACGUGCCAGCAGCCGCGGUAAUACGUAGGGCGCAAGCGUUGUCCGGAAUUAUUGGGCGUAAAGAGCUCGUAGGCGGCUUGUCGCGUCGGAUGUGAAAGCCCGGGGCUUAACCCCGGGUCUGCAUUCGAUACGGGCAGGCUAGAGUUCGGUAGGGGAGAUCGGAAUUCCUGGUGUAGCGGUGAAAUGCGCAGAUAUCAGGAGGAACACCGGUGGCGAAGGCGGAUCUCUGGGCCGAUACUGACGCUGAGGAGCGAAAGCGUGGGGAGCGAACAGGAUUAGAUACCCUGGUAGUCCACGCCGUAAACGUUGGGAACUAGGUGUGGGCGACAUUCCACGUCGUCCGUGCCGCAGCUAACGCAUUAAGUUCCCCGCC
rnacentral:rRNA from 1 species